rnacentral:rRNA from 1 species
CCUACGGGAGGCAGCAGUGGGGAAUAUUGCACAAUGGGCGAAAGCCUGAUGCAGCAACGCCGCGUGAAGGAAGAAGGGUUUCGGCUCGUAAACUUCUAUCAACAGGGACGAAAAAAAUGACGGUACCUGAAUAAGAAGCCCCGGCUAACUACGUGCCAGCAGCCGCGGUAAUACGUAGGGGGCAAGCGUUAUCCGGAAUUACUGGGUGUAAAGGGAGAGUAGGCGGCAUGGUAAGUUAGAUGUGAAAGCCCGAGGCUUAACCUCGGGAUUGCAUUUAAAACUAUCAAGCUAGAGUACAGGAGAGGUAAGUGGAAUUCCUAGUGUAGCGGUGAAAUGCGUAGAUAUUAGGAAGAACACCAGUGGCGAAGGCGACUUACUGGACUGAAACUGACGCUGAGGCUCGAAAGCGUGGGGAGCGAACAGGAUUAGAUACCCCAGU